UACGUAGGGUGCGAGCGUUAAUCGGAAUUACUGGGCGUAAAGGGUGCGCAGGCGGUUUUGUAAGUCAGAUGUGAAAUCCCCGGGCUUAACCUGGGAAUUGCGUUUGAAACUACAAAACUAGAGUGUAGCAGAGGGAGGUGGAAUUCCAUGUGUAGCAGUGAAAUGCGUAGAGAUAUGGAAGAACAUCGAUGGCGAAGGCAGCCUCCUGGGUUAACACUGACGCUCAUGCACGAAAGCGUGGGGAGCAAACAGG
rnacentral:rRNA from 1 species